GUCAGGAUGGCCGAACGUUCCAAGGCGCUGCGUUCAGGUCGCAGUCCACCCUGUGGGUAUGGGUUCGGAUCUCACUCCUGAC
rnacentral:tRNA from 1 species